rnacentral:rRNA from 1 species
GCGGCGUGCCUAAUACAUGCAAGUCGAACGCACUGACGUCGACAGAAGGUGCUUGCACUGGAAGUUGAUUGACGUGAGUGGCGGACGGGUGAGUAACACGUGGGUAACCUGCCCUUAAGCGGGGGAUAACAUUUGGAAACAGAUGCUAAUACCGCAUAAAAGUUGAGAUCACAUGGUCUUAAUUUGAAAGACGGCCUUUGGCUAUCACUUAAGGAUGGACCCGCGGCGUAUUAGCUAGUUGGUGAGAUAAUAGCCCACCAAGGCGAUGAUACGUAGCCGACCUGAGAGGGUAAUCGGCCACAUUGGGACUGAGACACGGCCCAAACUCCUACGGGAGGCAGCAGUAGGGAAUCUUCCACAAUGGACGAAAGUCUGAUGGAGCAACGCCGCGUGAGUGAAGAAGGUUUUCGGAUCGUAAAACUCUGUUGUUGGAGAAGAACAGGGACUAGAGUAACUGUUAGUCCUUUGACGGUAUCCAACCAGAAAGCCACGGCUAACUACGUGCCAGCAGCCGCGGUAAUACGUAGGUGGCAAGCGUUGUCCGGAUUUAUUGGGCGUAAAGCGAGCGCAGGCGGUUUCUUAAGUCUGAUGUGAAAGCCUUCGGCUUAACCGAAGAAGUGCAUCAGAUACUGGGAAACUUGAGUGCAGAAGAGGAAAGUGGAACUCCAUGUGUAGCGGUGAAAUGCGUAGAUAUAUGGAAGAACACCAGUGGCGAAGGCGGCUUUCUGGUCUGUAACUGACGCUGAGGCUCGAAAGUAUGGGGAGCGAACAGGAUUAGAUACCCUGGUAGUCCAUACCGUAAACGAUGAAUGCUAAGUGUUGGAGGGUUUCCGCCCUUCAGUGCUGCAGCUAACGCAUUAAGCAUUCCGCCUGGGGAGUACGACCGCAAGGUUGAAACUCAAAGGAAUUGACGGGGGCCCGCACAAGCGGUGGAGCAUGUGGUUUAAUUCGAAGCUACGCGAAGAACCUUACCAGGUCUUGACAUCUAGCGCCAAUCCUAGAGAUAGGACGUUCCCUUCGGGGACGCUAAGACAGGUGGUGCAUGGUUGUCGUCAGCUCGUGUCGUGAGAUGUUGGGUUAAGUCCCGCAACGAGCGCAACCCUUAUGAUUAGUUGCCAGCAUUUAGUUGGGCACUCUAAUCAGACUGCCGGUGACAAACCGGAGGAAGGUGGGG